GUCUUCCGGUUCCCGCCUGAAGCACGAGUCUAGCGUGGCCGAUAUCGGAGACUGGCGCGUCAAGGAAGGUUUUUUCAUCAGAUACUGAAAAUGGAGUCUAAAAUCAUGUUUAUAUUCAGUGGCUUCCAAAUCCUUUGGGUUGGACUGUCUCAGUCAUUUCAACAAGCAAGGUUUCCUUUUGUGUUUGUUGGAAACCAUCAAGACGGCUUUUUGUUCCUUAAGUUAAAGAUAACGUGAAUAUCUCAAUUGUGUGCCUAGCGGACUUCAGAUGAAUUCAGACACCUG